rnacentral:rRNA from 1 species
CGGUAAUUCCAGCUCCAAUAGCGUAUAUUAAAGUUGUUGCAGUUAAAAAGCUCGUAGUCGGAUUUCGGGUCGGGCCGAGCGGUCUGCCGAUGGGUAUGCACUGUUUGGCGCGGCCUUCUUUCCGGAGACCGCGGCUACUCUUAACUGAGCGGGCGUGGGAGACGGAUCGUUUACUUUGAAAAAAUCAGAGUGUUUCAAGCAGGCAGCUCGCUCUUGCAUGGAUUAGCAUGGGAUAAUUGAAUAGGACUCUGGUGCUAUUUUGUUGGUUUCGAACACCGGAGUAAUGAUUAACAGGGACAGUCAGGGGCACUCGUAUUCCGUCGAGAGAGG